UGAAAUUUAAAACAAAAAAUGAAGGAAAAGGAAUCUAGAAACUUUGACGAUGUUUACUAGACUUCCUCGCAACUUCGCAGUAAUUGAGAGUAUUAGGAAAUAGGACUACUAAUCCCGAAGAGGCAGUUCCCUGCUGGCUGACUUUCUGCUGACAUCAUCCAAGGUUCCUCAUCCGUGCUUGCUUGAACCCGCGGAUACAGAGGGCAGACUACAGGACCUGAGCAUCCGCAGAUUUUGGUAUCCACAGAGGGACAACUGUACUGGGCCUUCAACAAUGGGCUCCUGCACAGAGCUUGAAACCCAGAAGCUUCUGCUAAUUGACGUAAUGAUUGCUACUAAGGAGAAACUGAGAUAUUUUCCUAGCAUUUGCCUCUCUUGCCAGCCUGAUUCAAAUCUGUUGGACUUCAAGGCAUAGUAUAGGUCCCUCUGGUUUAAUCAAGAUUUGGACUAAACCUUCUCCAUGUUCCUGUGCUGCUUUCUACAUUACUCCCACCCCCAAGAAAUAAAAGUGCAAAGCAGAAAAUCAAAACCAUCAAAAAUCC
rnacentral:lncRNA from 1 species